rnacentral:rRNA from 1 species
AAUCAACGCUGGCGGCGUGCCUCAGACAUGCAAGUCGAACGCGAAAGGUUCCUUCGGGAACUGAGUAGAGUGGCGCACGGGUGAGUAACACGUAGGUAAUUUGCCUUUGGGUGGGAAUAACAGCCGGAAACGGCUGCUAAUACCGCAUAAUGCAGCGGCUCGACAUCGAGACAGUUGUUAAAGCGGGGAUCGCAAGACCUCGCGCCUAAAGAGAAGCCUGCGGCAGAUUAGCUAGUUGGUAGGUAAUGCCUACCAAGGCGACGAUCUGUAACCGGCCUGAGAGGGCGGUCGGUCACACUGACACUGACAUACGGGUCAGACUCCUACGGGAGGCAGCAGUCGGGAAUUUUGGGCAAUGGGCGAAAGCCU